GACAACGUGGCCGAGCGGUUAAGGCGAUUGACUAGAACUUCGCUUCUAAGACUUCAUGCUCUGCAUUCACCUGUCUAACAUCAAUUGGGAUAUUCUCGCGUAGGUUCAAAUCCUGCCGUUGUCG
rnacentral:tRNA from 1 species